rnacentral:rRNA from 1 species
UACGGGAGGGGCGAGCGUUAUUCAGAAUGACUGGGCGUAAAGGGCAAGUAGGCGGUUUGUGAAGUUAGAUGUGAAAUUUUGGGUCCUAAACUUAAAGAGCAUCUAAAACCAACAAACUUAGGAGUUCGGUGGAAGUAGGCGGAACUUUUACAGUAACAUUAAAAUGUUGUGAUAGUAGAGGGAACACCAAAGGCGAUAGCAGCCUAACUAUGCCGGUACUGACGUUGAUAUGCUAAAGUGCGGGGAGCAAACGGGG